GACGAACGCUGGCGGCGUGCUUAACACAUGCAAGUCGAACGGAAAGGCCCUGCUUGCAGGGUACUCGAGUGGCGAACGGGUGAGUAACACGUGGGUGAUCUGCCCUGCACUUCGGGAUAAGCCUGGGAAACUGGGUCUAAUACCGGAUAGGAGCCAUUUCUAGUGUGAUGGUUGGAAAGUUUUUUCGGUGUAGGAUGAGCUCGCGGCCUAUCAGCUUGUUGGUGGGGUAAUGGCCUACCAAGGCGGCGACGGGUAGCCGGCCUGAGAGGGUGGACGGCCACAUUGGGACUGAGAUGCGGCCCAGGCUCCUACGGGAGGCAGCAGUGGGGAAGAUUGCACAAUGGGCGCAAGCCUGAUGCAGCGACGCCGCGUGGGGGAUGACGGCCUUCGGGUUGUAAACUCCUUUCGCUAGGGACGAAGCUUUUUGUGACGGUACCUAGAUAAGAAGCACCGGCUAACUACGUG
rnacentral:rRNA from 1 species